CUUUGAAAACAGCUGAUUGGAAUUAUAUUUUUCGUUAUUUGAUUUAACGCAAUAAAAGGGAUUUUUACAAAAUAUUAAAUUUCUGGUUUAACUCGAUAAAGUAUCACAAAAUAAUUUGUAACAAUAUGAUGGAGUAAAAUAGCAAUAAAUUGUGCAUAACUAUUGGAGUUCACCUUACCCUUAUUUUAACAUUAUAUUUGACAAUUUGUGACUUAACUUCGGUAGUGACAAGUGAAAUCCAAUAAAUAAUUAUAUUGAAGUCCAGUAAUGGACAGUCAGUGUUUUGGCUUUCAAUUUCAGCCACUAGCUGAGGGUCGCUUAUUGGAUAUUGUCGAUAAUAAGUGGCGUGAGGAAGUUUUACCCUUUGAUCAGAUCCUUGUCCCGGCAGAUAAACUGCCAGAUCCAGAAGCUGAUGGUGGUGACUCACAUUUAACACUCAGCGAACAGGAACAAAAAUGGAGUGAUUUGGCCCUGAGUUCAUUGGCACCCGAAUCUUCUCUUGGAGAUCAAUUAAACAUUUCGUCUAUAUAAAUCAUUUUACAUAAUAACAUUUAAAAAUUUCUGUCUGCAAAAUGAAUCAGCAUCUCCACUCACCUACAAAGCUUACCGAAUUUGCGCGGGAUUUCGAAGAUGAAGAGACCGAAUCUAUACUGGGUCGCUUUGUGAACAAAAUACAAAACGUAUAUAAUCAAAGUUAUAACACUGUUAAUGAAGUAGCAAAUAGUAGUGCAGAUGGCACCUCACCGGCCCAAGUUUCGAAAUCAUCUUUUUAUGCUGACGAAAGUAUAGAUGCUACCGGCAACGCAAAUAUUUCUUAUGAAAAUUCAAAUUCCUGUAUAAAUAUCUCAUCAAUUAAUGUGCAUUCACCAAAUAAAACUGUCAAUAUGCAUAAAAAUCAUGACAAAUGUAAUUCAACCACAAAAAUCAUUACAAUAGAUGAAUCUAAAAACGAAAUGGAAGAACAAGUUUCGAGAUUACCAAACGAAAGCAGUGAGGGCCGCACCAUGGUCAAUGUACUAAAACGGAUGAGUAACUUAAUGGCGACAAAAAACAGUGAUCUACAAAAUUACAAAGAUACUGAGUUACAUCGUUUUUGGAUGCCUGAUUCAAAGGCAAAGGAAUGUUAUGAUUGUACACAAAAAUUCUCUACCUUUAGAAGAAAACAUCAUUGCCGCCUUUGUGGGCAAAUAUUCUGUUCCAGAUGCUGCAAUCAAGUUGUGCCUGGAAAAAUUAUUAAGUGUGCUGGCGACCUCAAGGUUUGCAACUAUUGCUCAAAGAUUGUACUUAGCUAUUUAAAAUCUCCAGACAUAGCAGUGGAUUUGCAUGCAGAUUUACAGGCCUUACAACAAGAUUUAACCCAAAAACUAGAAGAUAAAAAUGAUAUUAAUAACAUUGAGGUUUUGUCUACACGUGCAAUUUCAACUCGGAAGAUAUCUGUUGGAUAUCAAGAAGAGCGUUUUGCUACUCAUAUGAGUAAUUGCUUAUCUAUUGAUGAUCGAAAGAACAUACUUCAGCAAUCAAAUUCUUUAAUAACACUACACGAAGAAAUGCAACGUCAGUUGACACCACAGAACUGUGGCACGUAUCUAAUCGAUUAUAUGAUUUUACAUAAAAAAUCUUCAAAUAAGAUACAAGCUAUAGCAAUAUUAAAUGCAAUGUUAGCUGCUGGUUUUCUACAACCUAUAGUCCCAGAUUCUGAAUUGAUUGAUUUCGAUGAAAAUCUGCAUUACAAGUUUAUUGAGCUGAAUAAACAUAAUUUUAACAAUGCUUUUUUUAAGGACUCAACCAACGUUUCUUUGGUCACCACUCCGCAGAUUGAUAACAGUGAUGAACCACAGCCGCCAAAAACAAUAGAUGCCUCAUUGAGUUUUCAUUCCAUGAGGGACAUGGAAUUUGAGUCUUCAUUGUGUUCCACUACAACUACAACUAAGCUAUUGGAAUCUUACUGCGACUACGAAGAGCAGUUGCUUACUCAAAUGCUACGCACAUUCCAUUUAGAUUUGCGUUGGUCUAAAGUACUCAUGUCGUUAUGCUGUCGAGCAGCCAAUCAUUUCAAACCAGAAUAUUGCACCAAUGAGUUAAUGGACAUAAGAAAUUAUGUAAAUAUAAAAAAAAUACCAGGGGGAAAACGGCAAGAGUGUACAAUAGUAGGUGGGGUUGUUUUUUCAAAAAACAUUGCUCAUAAAGAUAUGGCUACACGUGUUGAACAUCCACGCAUACUUCUUUUACAAUGCCCUAUUGUUUACGAACGUAUUGAAGGAAAGUUUGUCAGUAUAGCAACAGUUUUGUUACAAGAAAAAGAGUAUUUACGACGUGUUUGCGAUCGGAUUAUGAGUUUCAAACCAAAUGUGGUAUUGGUGCAUAAAAAUGUUGCGGGCAUAGCUCAAGAUAUGCUACGCUCACAAGGUAUUACCUUGGUUUUAGAUGUGAAGCUUUCUGUAAUGGAACGAAUAUCUCGCACACUCCAAUGUGACAUUGUGGCUUCUAUAGAGUCCAAUAUAGCCCGGCCACAGCUCGGCAUGUGUGAUGCUUUCUAUAUUCGAAAUUUCAGUGAUGGUACUGGCAUUAAUAAAACGUUAAUGUUUUUUGAAAAAUUGAAUAAUCCUCGUGGCUUCACAUGCUUAUUGCGUGGAGGCUGUAAUAACGAGCUGGCAAAGGUUAAAAAAGUUGCAUCGUUUUUAGUGUAUGCGCGCUAUAACUGGCGAUUGGAAAUGUCUUUCCUCUUGGAUGAGUUUGCGGAUCCGCUUACACCAAAACUACCGAUUUUCAACUCGAAAGAACCAAGUCCAGAUGAUUUAUCUCCUGGUGAUAAAGAACGGAAAUUACCGUCGAUUUCCACUGUAAAAUUUGUGGUGGAGCGAAAAGCGGAGGAGAAAGUACAGCCACAACGAAAAGAAAUAAUCUCAAUGUCAAAGAAUGUUGCUGACUUUACUGAUCCACUUCGUUCCGUGGAGGUCGGCGCAAACAAAAUACCAGAAGAUCGACCUGUUGUAAAAUUAGCAGUUGAGACGCGUUACGAUAAUCGCUUUCGCACUGCACUCAGCUCAACUUUACUCUCGGUCAGCCCAUUUCUUAGCUUUCCAUUACCGUAUUUGGAAACCGAACAAGGUCGAAAAUGUGCUCUACGCAAACUAUUUCCAACUGAGUUAUUUUAUUCAAAAUUAAUGUCAAACAGGAAUAGCCUGCAUUUAGAUCGUAAUGAAAGUAUGGAAAAAAAAAUUAAAAUUAAUGCGAAUGAAACUCUGCUAAAAUCUCCACAUCCUUUUUUAAAACUCAAACUCACAACACCAUGGGAUAAUCGCGAUAUACAAAAUUUACUGGCAGAAUUUAGGUCAUAUGGUGGGCGUUAUCCAAAGAAAAAAAAUUCGUUUAGAAAAGUGAAUCAAGUUCCACAGAAGGUAAACGAGGAACUGGUUUUUAAAGAUGCGCUUGAUUUGGAGAACCAUCAAAGGCUGCCGGUACUAUUUUGCAGUUUCUAUUUCAAUCCGAAGUCUGCAUCCUCGUUUUGCGCCCCACCAACUUUGUUAGACAUGAAAUUUUAUGGGCAACACGAUAUUAUGCUUGGACAAUUCUUGCAACGCUACUGUUGUCGUUUAAAUUCGAUAUGUAAACUUUGCAAUUUGCCAAUGUUGGGGCAUGUGCGCCGCUACGUGCAUUCCAUGGGAUGUGUACAAGUUUUCCUCAGUGAGGAUAAUAUAAAAACCGAUCCUAAUCGAAUUUUUUUUACCGCUUGGUGUACAAUUUGCAAUGAGAUGACGCCGAGUGUACCGCUAUCCGACAAUUCAAAAUGCCUUUCUUUUGCAAAGUAUCUGGAGCUCCGUUUUCAUGGACACUCCUAUAAAAGGCGAACAAUUAUCAGCAGGAAUUCCCCUUCAGUAAGCCCAAGCUGCACAGAAUAUAAUCAAUGCCAGCAUUCUCUCCAUCGUGAUUAUGUACACUAUUUCACCUAUCGAGGCGUGGGGGCUAAAUUUCAGUACACACCUAUUGAAGUAUGGGAUAUUGGUUUACCUCCACUGAUAUUAGAUCUAAAACCACCACAGUUUGAUCAUUUCAAAUAUGUGGAAGAAAUUAAAACAUUUUCCAUGAAGGGGCAUGAAGUGUAUACUCGCAUUCAUGAGCGUAUUGCUGAUCUUGCCACCGAGGAUGAUACUUUGGCGAUUGUGCUUAAUCUAAAGACAGCGUUGAACAGAGAUCAUUUUAUUUUUAAACAACAUAUCGAAAUUGUACAAGCUUUACUCACUGAACCAAAAGCCAGUAUACAUGAUGUAAACGAUGCGUUACUCAUGUCUAAACGAGUACUGGCCGAGAGUAUUGAUUUAUGGGGCCCAAGGGUACAUGAUAUUGCGUUGGCACAAAAGGUAGUAGCCAAACAACCAAGUCAGAUGCAUCCGGAUUCUGUUACUGCUUGUACCGAAGACCUGCAUUCUGAAUAUUUAGAUGCGUCGCCGAUAAUGUCAGAAAGGCCUCGCUUGCUACGUGAUGAUACAUAUUCACAAAUAGAUGAUAACGCCGUCGAGAGAUCGUCAGAGGAGCACCUUCUUACGAUUUCGGCGAAUACCGAUAAAAAAUCUAUCAAGAAAAUACUGACACAACUUUUGCCUUCUGCGGGACCAGCAAAUUUGCUUCAAUCACCUUUUUCGUCGCAAGAACAUUAUACAUUACCACUGGGAGUAUUUCCGAUACUGGUACACGAUCAGGACUUGAGUUCGCUAAUCGCAUAUAGUCUGACGUCAAGUGACUAUCAAAAAUCAAUUGCCAAUUUGGCAAACAGUAGUUACGCUGAAAACGGCAGUGGUGCUGGAUUAGGUCAUCCGCCAACUAUGGAUAGUGAAAAUAUUACAAAUCAAAGCCACCAUAGCCCCAGUUUAAAACAGAAAUUACAAGAAAAUUCACAAAAAGAAGAUGAAAGUGACAUACAAGAUGUUCCAAAUAUCACCAAUACCACAGAAGAAGAACGGAGCAAGUCAAAAACGAAUACUUCACAUGUAGAUUUAACUUUCCAUGACAACGGCACACAAUUUACAUGUAAAAUUUACUUUGCAAAAGAGUUCGAUUUAAUGCGGGUAAAAACAUUAAAACCUCCAAAUACGGAAAAAUCAUUAUAUAAAGAGCUUGAGCAGAAGAAAAAACGUGAGGAGUUAAAAGUUUGCCAAAGCCGCAGUGGCCCUGAAAUGGAAUUGGUGCAUAAACCCACAAGCGAUAUAAAUCACCCAACACAAACAGACGCAACCAAACUCAAUCGAAAUGUUUUGCAGACAGAAAUCGAGAAAUGCCGUAAUUGUUUGGCUCGUUCUCUAUGCAGCAGUGUACAGUGGGAAGCAAGAGGUGGGAAAUCUGGUUCACGAUUCUGCAAAACAUUAGAUGAUCGCUUUGUGUUGAAGGAAAUGACCAAAGGAGAUAUUAAUAUUUUUGAAAAUUUCGCUCCAAAUUAUUUUGAGUAUAUCAGCAAAUGUCAGCAGCAAAAUCAGCCCACAUUGCUGGCAAAAAUUUUUGGAGUGUUUAAAGUUAUCGUAAAAAAAAAAGAGUACGUAAACUAAAAUAUAAAAGUUAAAUAAUAUUUUAAUGUUCGACUAAACCUCAUCCCCCACUCCCAUAUAACGGCUAUGUUCAAAACUACGAAAAGUCCGAUAAGUGUCAUAUUAGAAACCUAUAGGUUUAUAUGUAACUCAGAUCAAAAAUUAGACAAAUAGUCUGGAACUAAGAUAUCGAAGAAAAUCUUGGCAUAAGUCGCGACUCCCAUAUAAAAGUUGUGAAAAUCAGUCCACAUCUGUUCCAGACCUUUUUAUUGGAUCCAACUUUAUGGAUAUUGGAUAUAUUUGGACUACAGGAUGAUCUGCAUUGAUUUUAUUUACUUUUAUCAUUAAACUAAAGUACUCUUGAGAAAAUAUUUCCCCGCAAUUUUAUUCAGAUAAAUUGUUAACUAGAACAACAAAAUCAGUAUAUGCUAAAAAAAAGUGCUGCACCAAUUGUAACUCCGGACCUGACCAUUAUGUUCAGUUCAUUUUGUGAAGAUAUGCUACAAGUUGACUGAUAUUUUCGGGUAAAGUCAGUCAUAGAUUCGGAGCUUCUCGUAUAAGAUAGUUAUCUCAGAUCAGAUCAACAUAACAGCUGUAUAGUAACUAUCCGAUUUUAUCCAUUUCUAAACUGUAUCAUUAAAUUAUAGAUUGUAAUGGCCCCACUAAGUCUAAGUGUACCUCUGCCCUCGUUUCAUUGAAUUUAAUAUUUUAGCAUAUUUUAUAUUUAUUCAAAAAAAGCAGUUAUUCAUAAAUUAUUUGUAUAUUAGCAUAUGAACCUUUAGGAUAACCAUAUCGAUUCGGUCAAUAAACUACGGUUAAAAACAUCACAAGUAAGGUAUUCAAGUAUUACUUCACCACAAACAUCUAUUUAUAGGAAACCGUAAAAAUUAUGUCAAAAAACCGAAGCGAAACAAGUAAGGAAGCUCUAAGUUCGUGUGUAAUCGAACAUUUUAUACACUCGCAACUUGCAAGGAUCAAAGUCCGGGAAAUUACUUCAGUUCAUUUAUGGAGAAAUCAUUGCUAGUUAUGGAGAACCUUUUUUAUGAUUGUGAUAUUAAAAAUAAAUUCGACUUAAAGGGUUCUGAACGCAAUCGAAUGGUAGACCCCACUGACCAACAAGGUGAAAUAGUUCUAUUGGAUGAAAAUUUAGUUCAAAGUAAGUAAACAUAAUCAUAAAUUUUAAAUUUACCAAUCGUACAUAUAAAAUUAAAGACAAAUUGUAGAUUUUGAAAUGAAAAAAAAAAAUCAAACAUGUAAAGGAAAUGUUUAAAAUUCCGCAACAUGUUAUAUAGAGUUAAUUGAGAUAUAUAAGGAGAUGUAUCGAAUUUUAACCUCGCCCACUUUCCAUUAUCAAUCUUUCCCAUUUUGGUCGAUAGAUGGGAGCUCAUAGUAGAUGAUUCCCUGUCAAUCCCACCAAAUACAUAGCAAACCGUUCCUGAAAGUCAAUCCUGGUUUGGCCAUCGUUUGCACCGACUCGUCGCAAUUAUUGACGAUUUACAUUAUUUUAUCUAGCGUGAUGCAGCUUUGACAUCAAAAUUACUGAAACAGAAUCGACGAAACCAAAAUUGAGCAUGAUUGUCUACAGUAUCAAGACCGCAAAGACUAUUCACAUUUUCAGCCGAUUGGUUUGCUUUUUUGUCUUUAUCGAAAAAUAUGGUGUAUUUUCUCUUUGACGCAUGUUCAAACAAUACUGAGUCAAACAAUCAUAAAACUGUCUGAAAAUGUUUUUUAGUACGAAAUCUUAUCUUACCAUAUUUUGUGAUUCAAUAGCACUUAAAUUUGGGAAAAUAAUGUAUGUCUUUGUACUUGACCUAAUACUUAAUUGCUUUAUACCGAUAUAGUUCAAAAUCUAAAAAGAAUGCUAGGUAGUCAAAUUUAUGAACCCGUUUUUACUACAUUCAUACUACGUUCAACGUAUGCUAUAUUCAGAUUUGUAAAAUGCUUUGUGAACAUUCAUUCAAAAGUGGGUAUUACUACCUUUACUAUCCUAUAUUAACCUAUCCUAUAAUCCUAUAUUAUAUCAAGCUCCCUGCUAAAUUUGAUGUCACAUUAGUAUUAUCUAUUCAUUUAUACUUUUUUUAAUUUAAAAAUGUACACCAGCACGACCCUCCCAAAUAAAAUAUGAAUAUUAAAAUUUUUGUUGUUGCAACGAAAAAUCCUCUUGAAAGGAGAAACUUUGAAAUGUUGCUCUUUUUUACAAUUAUUGAAACAAACGGUUCUUGGUGUUGUAAAUAAAAAUUUUUCACUCUAGCCAACGGAAAACUUAAACACUAUCUAAAAUUACUCAUUACAACUAAAUAAAAAUAAUAAUAAAAGCACAUAGACUUAAAAAAUUUAUUAUUGCUAUACCAACAACAACUUGCUUAGUGCCCAAUUUUCAAUAGGGUUUCUCAAUUUUUAAUAAGUUACCCAUUGUAUCGUCAGAAAAUUAUGACAAACAGGUAUAAAUGUAUUAUAUAUAUAAUUAAAAUAUACAAUGACACUUACAUAUAUAAUAUAACUUUAAUUUGCGGCGUCAAUGUCAAUUAAACUAACAUAACAAAUUAUGUUUUACAGUGUCUUGGUCUAAACCACUAUACAUUUUGUCACAUAGCAAAGCAGUCCUCAAAGAUGCUAUCAAUAGAGACUCUACAUUUUUAGAAAAAAAUCAAAUAAUGGAUUACUCGCUGCUCGUAGGUUUAAAUCACGAUAGCAAUAUAUUAGUAUUGGGAAUAAUCGACUACAUACGAACAUUUACUUUCGAUAAAAAGGUUGAGUCAUUUGUAAAACAAACGGGCAUAUUAGGUGGCAUGGGCAAAUUACCAACAGUUAUAUCACCAGAACGUUAUAAGCAACGGUUUAUUGAUGCAAUGGAUCGUUAUUUUUAUACAGUCCCGGAUCGUUGGGAAAGUUUGGCAAAAACUUAAUUACUGGAUAUUUAUAAGUAAUUCAUGUUGUAUAACUAACCAUUUAAAUUAAAAUAAAUUCAGAAUGAUAUCUGUAUUGCAAUAUA